GAUGAACGCUGGCGGCGUGCUUAACACAUGCAAGUCGAACGGUGAAGCAGAGCUUGCUCUGUGGAUCAGUGGCGAACGGGUGAGUAACACGUGAGCAACCUGCCCCUGACUCUGGGAUAAGCGCUGGAAACGGCGUCUAAUACUGGAUAUGAGCUGCGACCGCAUGGUCAGCAGUUGGAAAGAUUUUUCGGUCUGGGAUGGGCUCACGGCCUAUCAGCUUGUUGGUGAGGUAAUGGCUCACCAAGGCGUCGACGGGUAGCCGGCCUGAGAGGGUGACCGGCCACACUGAGACUGAGACACGGCCCAGACUCCUACGGGAGGCAGCAGUGGGGAAUAUUGCACAAUGGGCGAAAGCCUGAUGCAGCAACGCCGCGUGAGGGAUGACGGCCUUCGGGUUGUAAACCUCUUUUAGCAGGGAAGAAGCGAAAGCGACGGUACCUGCAGAAAAAGCGCCGGCUAACUACGUG
rnacentral:rRNA from 1 species